rfam:Gongylonema pulchrum genome assembly, scaffold: GPTH_scaffold0028251
GCACAUUUGAAGUCAAUUAUCUUAUCCCUUCAAAUCACACUCAUCGGUUAAAAUAUCAUGAAACAAAAGAAAUAUUCUCAGGAAAUCCUUGGAUUUGAAAUUUUAAGUAAAAAAUUUUAUUAGGCAAAUGUGUUUGAAGUUUUUGAUAAUUUCAUCCUUUUAUCUAUUACAUAUGAAAAUAAACAAUCAUUUGGGAGUGCUCAAGCCGAUCACAUCUUGUACAGGCGAUGUAUCCAUCAAGUGUCUGCCCUUUCAACUUUUAAUGGUAGUUUAUGUGUUUCCAUGGUUGUAACGGGUAACGGAGAAUAAGGAUUCAACUCCGGACAGGGGAUCUGAGAAACAGCUACCCAGGCAGUCGGCGCAAAAUGGGAGGUAUGCAGC